GUAGUACCGCUACUAUGCACCGAUGUCGCCACAGUUUUAAAGUUCAAAACUUUUCGCUUUGGUUCGCUUCCGCUUCCGUUUCCUUCCAUUGCUCAUUCUUCUAUUUUGUGCCGAUUAAGCCACACGUGUGUUAACGAGAUUCCGAAGAAAUGGAAAAAAGGAAAAUAAGAGAAUUGUCCUCGGAUUCAGAGGACAACAAGGAUUUACGAAAAAGGAUUAGACCAUUAGAAACGGCGUUGAGACGCAAGGAAGAGAGUAGCCGACCGAGAUACGGUAAGCGAAGAGGUUAACUGGUCGAAAAGCCAUACAUCGACAAUGGCAGUAAGGCGCAUGGGCGAGGUUCAGGCGUCUUGGUUGCAACCAAGUCGUCUUGAGAGUGCAAAUUUGAGAAACGUCAAAUGCGCACAUAACCUCUCCACGUUAUAUCCUACGAUUAUUUAACCAUCAAGCCUGUCUCAGGGCUGUAGUGACGUCAGAAAGGUAUGCGCAUAGCCGAGAUUCAGGUGUCUUGGUCCAACCAAUUCACCUUGAAAAUGCAAAUUGAAGGGCUUUAAUUCUGCAUAAUCUCGCCACGUUAUGUCCUACGAUAGUUUGACCAUCAAGUCGGUCCCGAGGCUGUAGUGACAUCAAAAAGGUAAGCGCAUAUGCGAGAUUCAGGUGUCUUGGUCCAACCAAUUCACCUUGAAAAUGCAAAUUAAAAGACUUCAAUUGUGUACGUAUAACUCGCAUAUGCAAGGCCAGGUGUCUUGGUCCAACCAAUUCACCUUGGAAAUGUAAUUGAAAAAUUUCAAUUGCAUACAUAACCUUACACAUAACAUUCUGUGACCCGGAUAUAAUCCGUAGUAUAUCGGUUCAACCGAUAUAUUAAAGAAAAGCUAUAUUCCGAGUAUAAACCACUUAAGACUGUCAUUUUCUAAGACAACCUGUUUUUGUUUCUUUAUUGUAACAGGAGGUAUCAAGGGACGUUGUGCAAGAUAACAUCUCGGAAGGAUAAAAGCGGUCACGACUAUUUUUACAGGCGACAUUAUAAUAACGAUAGACAAAGUUAUAACCGGGAUUAUUAUCCGGAUGAUCACCUGUAUGACGAUGACUCGUUAAAUGACUACGACGGUGAAAGUCGGAUACGAAGAGUCAUUCGUUUCUAUUUCAAAUUCCACAGGACGGAACCUGAGUUCGCCUGAGUCGGAGGAACAAAGAGUUCUUCGAAAAGGAUUUAAAGAGUGGCGUAAAAGCCAAUCAAAAAUCCAAAAAACUCGCGGGGGCCAUUUUGCUGAAAUCGACAGAAGUCUUGCGGCUAAUCGAAGGCGAGCAGACACAAGUAGACGUACAAUCAGCGACAAAACUCAUCCUCUUAAGGUCGCAGUACCUAUCAAAAGCCGGGACAAGCGCCUGCGAAGAAGAAUUAGAAAUAAGUAAGGUGGACUGGCAUAGUUGAAAUGUCAAUAAUCGUGGUUGAUUUCAGAUUCAACCAUCUUGAACUAGAUUCAAGAUACUGUUCUCAUCAAAGGAAGCCACAUCCUCCUUAGGAAAGGAUUACUUUGGUUGUCGGGACACUGGCAUGCAAAAAAGCUUUGAACUGGGAGAUGUACGAAUAGAUGCGACAAACAUCAUGCCUUCUUCGCUGACGGAGUCCUCGAUUAGGCAUUAUAUAUCUGUAACAGCCUCAUUACAGGGUCCAGAAGUGGAAAAGAUGUAAGAUCGAAGAGGCCUUCUAAGGUAGUUGAGAAGUUGCGACCUAGCAUACCAAAAUAUGAUGCUACAAAGGACCUAAGGUGGUAUUUGAUCAUGCAUAAUCUAUCUGCCGCAACAACUUUAAACAUCUACAUGUGAUCUCGAGGAAGAGGCGCGCAAUACAAUUAAAUGAUUAAACGAACUUACCUAUUUCCCAUAUGUUACGGCAGCACUUUAAAUAAAUGAGCAAUGGAAGGAAACGGAAGCGGAAGCGAACCAAAGCGAAAAGUUUUGAACUUUAAAACUGUGGCGACAUCGGUGCAUAGUAGCGGUACUACAUGUGAUCUCUUCGGAAGAGGCGCUUCAUACAAUUAUGAUAGAACUUCAC